rnacentral:rRNA from 1 species
CCUACGGGAGGCUGCAGUAGGGAAUAUUGCUCAAUGGGGGAAACCCUGAAGCAGCAACGCCGCGUGGAGGAUGAAGGUUUUCGGAUUGUAAACUCCUUUUGUUAGAGAAGAUAAUGACGGUAUCUAACGAAUAAGCACCGGCUAACUCCGUGCCAGCAGCCGCGGUAAUACGUAGGGUGCAAGCGUUACUCGGAAUCACUGGGCGUAAAGAGCGCGUAGGCGGGAUAGCAAGUCAGAUGUGAAAUCCUAGGGCUUAACCAUAGAACUGCAUUUGAAACUGUUAUUCUAGAGUAUGGGAGAGGUAGGUGGAAUUCUUGGUGUAGGGGUAAAAUCCGUAGAGAUCAAGAGGAAUACUCAUUGCGAAGGCGACCUGCUAGAACAUAACUGACGCUGAGGCGCGAAAGCGUGGGGAGCAAACAGGAUUAGAUACCCUUGUAGUC